rnacentral:rRNA from 1 species
ACUACGUGCCAGCAGCCGCGGUAAUACGUAGGUCGCAAGCGUUGUCCGGAUUUAUUGGGCGUAACGCGCGCGCAGGUGGUUUCUUAAGUCUGAUGUGAAAGCCCACGGCUCAACCGUGGAGGGUCAUUGGAAACUGGGGAACUUGAGUGCAGAAGAGGAUAGUGGAAUUCCAAGUGUAGCGGUGAAAUGCGUAGAGAUUUGGAGGAACACCAGUGGCGAAGGCGACUGUCUGGUCUGUAACUGACACUGAGGCGCGAAAGCGUGGGGAGCAAACAGGAUUAGCUACCCUGGUAGUCCACGCCGUAAACGAUGAGUGCUAAGUGUUAGGGGGUUUCCGCCCCUUAGUGCUGCAGUAACGCAUUAAGCACUCCGCCUGGGGAGUACGACCGCAAGGUUGAAACUCAAAGGAAUUGACGGGGGCCCGCACAAGCGGUGGAGCAUGUGGUUUAAUUCGAAGCAACGCGAAGCCCUUACCAGGUCUUGACAUCCCAAUGACCAUCC